UACGGAGGGUGCAAGCGUUAUCCGGAAUCAUUGGGUUUAAAGGGUCCGCAGGCGGACUUAUAAGUCAGUGGUGAAAGCCCAUCGCUUAACGAUGGAACUGCCAUUGAUACUGUAAGUCUUGAAUUCGGUCGAAGUGGGCGGAAUAUGUCAUGUAGCGGUGAAAUGCUUAGAUAUGACAUAGAACACCGAUAGCGAAGGCAGCUCACUAGGCCUGGAUUGACGCUCAGGGACGAAAGCGUGGGGAGCAAACAGG
rnacentral:rRNA from 1 species